rnacentral:rRNA from 1 species
CAAUAGCGUAUAUUAAAGUUGUUGCAGUUAAAAGCUCGUAGUUGGAUUUCUGGCAGUGUGACUCCGGCCGGCGUGAUGCCGGCUCGAGCGCGCUACCAUCCUUCUGUCAACCUUCGCGGGUUUUACCGCCCGCCCUGGGCUCAGAUAUUUUACCUUGAGAAAAUUAGAGUGUUUCAGGCAGGCUAUCGCCGGAAUACAUUAGCAUGGAAUAAUGGAAAAGGACUUCAACCUCUUCUGGUUGGUCUGAGGGGCUGUAGUAAUGAGUUAAUAGGGAUAGUUUGGGGGCAGUUAGUUAGCUUGACUGUCAGAGGUGAAAUUCUCCGAUUUGUUAAAAGACUAACUUAUGCGAAAGCAUUU